ensembl:lncRNA
AUGCUCAAACCUAAGCAGUGCGCACUGUGUGCAGCGCACAUCCGGAAAGCUCCACCCCCAUCACUGAGCGAAAGAAGUUUGCCCAGCAACAAUUUUGCCGCCUUGAGUCUGCUGUCCGUUAAGGAUCCAUUAGGGUGUCGACUGGACAAAAGACAGGUUGCAGCUGUGACUGACAUAGGAGGGGGGACUGUUGACGAGGCCACAAAAAGGAUGAUGACUUUUCUCCUAGACCAUGGCCUAUCCAGGCAGUAUAACUUUGUGGGCCGAAAUGGGAAGAGAGAGUUCAAGGCCUUAAAACUGUAUGAAGUAAUAUAUGGAGGCUUAAAGAAAAACGCCAUGACCAGCCAAAUCACCCGUAAAGAUGCCGAGAAGGCGGUCUCCAAGUGGCUCAUUGGUGCUAGGGACCGGGGGGGUAAUAGACAGGCCCGACAGUCAACCCCUCAACAAGGACUUCAGGCUUCAGGCUCGUUUGAGGUGGAAAGAAACUAAUUCUGUUUGUGACAGUGAGGGAACACUGUGCAAAAGCAUGUUGUCAUAAAUUUUACUUAAAUAAAAUGUAAUUAAUUCUAUUACUGGUAUCCUUGUUAUUUUAGCUUGUUUAACCCAAGGUGUUCGGGUCUGUGAGACCCAUUUUCAAUGUUUGCUAAAAGAAAAAGUUACGCUAUUUAUUAACCGUGUCCUCCUCCUAACUGGGCCUGCUGUGUCUUGUCUGUGUGCGCGAAUGUUUUUUUUUUCUGCACCUGCUAUUCACACACAAAGUAACAAAAUUGUUACAUUUCAAGCACUUUCACCUGUUCUAAAUAAAGUUCUAAGAAAUGAGCACCAAUAAUGAUAAAAAAUCUUGUUUCUAUUUUUUAUUUUUUAUAAUUGAAUUUCCAUGUUUUCUCACACACAAAAAAAAAACUAUCAUAUGAUCAUAAUUGUUACCUCACAGGGGUAAAUGGCGAAUAAGAACCAUAAAUUAUGUAUAUACCAUUGGUAAUAUUGAGCUAAAGUAAACAUCUGUUAACUAUUUUUACAUAAAUUGUUGUGGCUGUAUUGAUUUAAAAGCCUAAUAAUGUGGUGGGUCCACCAGACUCGGGGAUAUUGGCUGUGUAACAAAAAUAUUAACAUCUUACAAUUGUUAAAGAACUGUAUGGACUGACUGUAAAAUAAGAAUGAAAAUUUUAAUUUGUUCAAAUUCCAAUUCCCCAAAAAUAAUAAUAAUAAUAAUGGUUAUUACCCAUAUGGGUAUAAUAGCAGGGACCCAUAAUCAGCCCACAUGGGGCCCAGCUAGUGUGGGCCCCAGAUGGGAGAAACCUGGGAUGCCCAAGUAGGUUUUAGCUAGGGCCCAUGUGAAGCCCACCUUCAGCCCAUCUGGGCUUGCCCACAUGGGGCCACCAUGGAACCCCCGGACAAAAUUAACUGGGCCCCCACUCACCAGCCCAUAUCCAUCCCUUAUGGGCCCCACAUGGGUGUGUUGACAGGGGAAGUUAAGGAACAAUGCUACUACAAGUAGUGCACAUGGGUGUUAGGCCCAGAAGCAAAAAUCACAUCACACAAUCAAACAAAAAAAAAAAAAAAAAAAAAAAAAAAAAGCGUAUUAAAUCACAAGAAAAGUGGCUGGCCUGGUCCCUUUUUGGAAAUAAAACAAUCAUGUUAGUUGCCAGCCUCAUUAAACAGCAUAGUCAACUCAAACAUGGCUAGAAAAUAUAGCCCUACUUUUCAGUAUGCUCAACUGUCCCACAGCUCAUUGACAUAAGACAAAAGGUGAACAUUCCGUUGCUACAGACAGACAAAAGUAUUUUAAAACAUGUUCCAAUGCAGAUAUAAAACACUCAAUGACAAAUGUGCAUAUUAAGGCGUUUACCGAUGCAGCCCAGCAGCUCAAGUCACAAUGGGAUCACAACAAAUUUUAAAACUCCAUGCAGAAGCCCGUGUCCUCCAUGAAGAGUAGACACGUACUUCUGGAAAUUACCCUGAUAAAACAAAGUAUUAAAAUUCAAAUGGCAGUGAUUACUCGUACUCUACCAUGACCAACAGUACCUACAUGAAAAGGAAGCCCAACACGCACCGUGUCCAGCACCAACACAAAGGCUGCGUCCGAAAUCGCAUACUUAACGAGUAGGUAAUACAUUUCAAUAAGUAGCCUACUUACUUAACGAGCGCUAAAAGAGUACGUACUCUACAGCCAAAUCUCGUUGAGUAUGAAUGAAUUCCGCCAUGUUUACGUUAUCAUGUGACCUAUGACGUUAUAACAACUUCAGAUAUAUGACUGACUGCUUCAGGUUUAAUAUUUACUACCUAAAUAUUUUGAUGUUGAUGCAAUUUGCUCCUUUUGUGGUCGGUCUUGUUGAAUACACAAAUGCCCUUUUAUUGUUAUUGUAGUUUAACCAAUGUAUUUGUGUUGUUUUUGUUUUAACUCUAUUGAAAUGACCCACAGUUUAAUCCUUGAAGAUUAAACCCUUCAUAGCAUCAGUAACUCCACAACCCCAGCUCGUACGGUUUUCCUCAGCUUUUGCUGAUAUCUGCACAAAUAAGACGUUGAUCAGGUGCUUGAAGAUCUCGGCUUUGGAGAAGAAUGUUGAUUUUACACUUGAAAAAUGUAAAUAUUACUACUUAAAAAUUAAAAUUAC